rnacentral:rRNA from 1 species
UACGUAGGGGGCGAGCGUUGUCCGGAAUUAUUGGGCGUAAAGCGCGCGCAGGCGGUUUCUUAAGUCUGAUGUGAAAGCCCACGGCUUAACCGUGGAGGGUCAUUGGAAACUGGGGAACUUGAGUGCAGAAGAGGAGAGUGGAAUUCCACGUGUAGCGGUGAAAUGCGUAGAUAUGUGGAGGAACACCAGUGGCGAAGGCGACUCUCUGGUCUGUAACUGACGCUGAGGCGCGAAAGCGUGGGGAGCGAACAGG